AGUGAACGCUGGCGGUAGGCCUAACACAUGCAAGUCGAACGGCAGCACAGUAAGAGCUUGCUCUUACGGGUGGCGAGUGGCGGACGGGUGAGGAAUACAUCGGAAUCUACUUUUUCGUGGGGGAUAACGUAGGGAAACUUACGCUAAUACCGCAUACGACCUACGGGUGAAAGCAGGGGAUCUUCGGACCUUGCGCGAUUGAAUGAGCCGAUGUCGGAUUAGCUAGUUGGCGGGGUAAAGGCCGACCAAGGCGACGAUCCGUAGCUGGUCUGCGAGGAUGAUCAGCCACACUGGAACUGAGACACGGUCCAGACUCCUACGGGAGGCAGCAGUGGGGAAUAUUGGACAAUGGGCGCAAGCCUGAUCCAGCCAUACCGCGUGGGUGAAGAAGGCCUUCGGGUUGUAAAGCCCUUUUGUUGGGAAAGAAAAGCAGCAGGUUAAUACCCCGCUGUUCUGACGGUACCCAAAGAAUAAGCACCGGCUAACUUCGUG
rnacentral:rRNA from 1 species